AGGUCGGGAGCGUGCCAUUGGGCGGGCGCGCAUGAAUGGACCUCGCCCGUCUUGAGGUUUCAGUGCGCCUCCGCCGGUGACCCGACGGCGCGUGGG
rfam:Roseibacterium elongatum DSM 19469, complete genome.